rnacentral:lncRNA from 1 species
UCUCGAUUUUCCAAUUGUGAUGUUGACCUAACCUUCUAUUGCCCAUAACUUAACCUAAACACCUUUUUAGCCAACGGGGGUAAAUGUAGACCAUAACUCAGUUUCAAAAUCAAUUUUAUGAUUAAAAUCAUACCUUAACCUUGAAAAAUUUUUAGACGGCUCUAUUUGCCUCAAAAUGUGUGAGACUCACAAUUAACUACCAAAACAAGAAUUUAAACCUCAUGACUUGCGCUCAAUGCACAGGGACUAGUGUAGACCAUGUUUCAACUCUGUAUGACCUAUAUGGAUGACUGAUGACCUACAGCUAUCAACCAUGCUAGAAAUUGAAAAAUUCCUAAACUAAUACAAAAAGAAAAAUAAAUUAAAAGAACACGAUGGGUUGUCUCCCAUCCAGAGCUACUUUAUAGUGGAUAGCUCGACUCUUCCAUAUCUGCUUCUUUCUACUAUUUUGAGAUGGACGGUGGACUUUUCCUUGGAAAAUUCUCCACUCUAGUAAUGCUUCAGCCUUUGUCCAUUGACCGUGAAAGUUCCUUUGCUUUCAUGGCUAAUCUCAAUGGCUCCAUUUGGUACGAUACUAUGCAAUUUGUGCGACCAGAUGUCCAUACAAUAUGGGAUUAGCCGCAUCAAUGGCAUCUUUUAUCUUGGUUGGAGGAGAAAUUACCAAACGUCUAGCAUUCCCUCACGCUUGGCGCCAAUGAGGUUUUUUUUAUUUGAGAGAAAAAAGAAGACUAUGCCUUCACCAUAUGAAUAUUAAGUAAUAAUAGCAUGGCACUUCGAAUUCGAUAUGCAAAAUUUUUGUCUUGUUUUUUUUCAAAAGAUUCAAUUAUGUAUCGAGAGAGUAGUAUGAGAUAAAAGGUAUUUCCGAUUUCUCUUAUCUAUCGGGAGUCUAGUUCAGCGUGACAAACUUUUUUGUUUUCACACCGAAGGGCUCUUAACAAUAUUUAUGUUAUAAAAAAAGCAUCUUCGUAAUGGUAUAAGGACCUAACUACCUUGACUUCAAUUUUCCUGGGAAAAGCUUGAGUCUAAAGUUAUACAAUAGCAUUUUCUAACCCACUUCAAACUUUUACCUCUGA